rnacentral:rRNA from 1 species
GCUGAAAGCAUCUAAGUACGAAGCCGGCCACAAGAUUAGAUUUCUCAGGGUCGUUGUAGACUACGACGUUGAUAGGAUGCAGGUGUAAAGAUGGAGACAUCAAAGCCGAGCAUUACUAAUUGCCCGUCCACUUUCCUUA